GAGAUCAAGAUUCCUCGCAAAGGUUCACUCCCCCAGGAUCAUUCGAUGCCGAAGAUGAAGGAGUAUUCAUACCUGGCCGAUGGCGUCAAGAUA
rnacentral:pre_miRNA from 1 species